CCUGGCUGCCGAGCCCACGUGUUGCAGGCCCUGCGCUUUGCUCCCCAGUCGGAGCCUUGCAGGAGCUUGGAGCCUAGCUGGCAUUUCCCCACAUUGUCUCCUCAGGAGCUGAUUGAUCACGAGUCCGUCGACUCCCUGACCGGCGUGAUGCGUCAGCAAGCAAUGCUCGCCAUCAUGAAGCUGAGCUACCAUUGGAAAUACUGUUGAAACAGAUGGUAGCAGUCGGCAUUCACUACACUCAGAUUCUAAUACGUCUUUGGCAGCUCAAGGACAAUCCAUUGGUGUGUCAGUCUUAUGAAGGGUUAAAGUGCUCCAGCACCAUCAGCUACCACACAAAAAAUCCAGGCAGAAGUCUUUGAAGG